UUGUCCGAAAUGUUCGACAACGCUGAUACUGAUGACAUCACUGAGCCUACUGGUUGUCAUCUUGACAAUUGUGCGGAAGUAUAAUAUUACGAAAGUUGCUCUUGAUAGAUGCGCUUGUGCGCUUUCAAUUAAUCUAAAGUUUGCAAUCCAUUUUUACGUUUUUAUUAAUUCAAAAUUUAUUCUGUGUUAAACAAUCAGUAAGGUGUUUCGUGCGUUGUUUUCAUUAAUUGGCAACGAUUGCCUAUACAUCAAGUCAGGUGUUCAAGCUCGGUUUUCGAAUUUGGAAUUUGCUAAUUCGUCCAGUACGAAUAAGUAAGAUUUUACUGUUCUUUGAGUUAGUCGUGGAUGUUUACAAUUUCUUUUCUUAAUUCAAAGGAUUCGAAUGAUUGAGUCGCACAGAUGAAACACGUUUUACUGAUUAUUUUGGUUUGGUCUGAAAGUACUAAAAGUAAGAAGUUUGAUGUAAAAUAAUGAUUUUCUCUUUUGACCGGAUCUUAAAUUUAAUUUACAGAAUUUGAAGCUAACUAUUUUCCUGUAAAAUAAAACUCUGAUAAACAAAUUGAGUUCUUUGCUUUCAAUCGUCGGACCAAUCGCCGUAACACGGACA